AGAAUAGAAAAGCGACUUACAAGAUUUUGACCCUCCCUAAAUUUUUUUCUGGCGGCGGCCCUGGUUACAGCAGAAUGAGCAGAAGUGUUCAGGAAGAAAGGAUGCUCAAUGCAUGGAGAGGGUAUCAGAGAUGAUUCACCAUCCCUAUACAUCCAUUUCGGUCUCUCCAGACCUCUUCAGUAAGGCUACAUGAACACAUCUGAAUGGAAACGAAACAAAGCUGCCUAUUUAAGCAGAAUUAUGAAAAUAAUAAUAAUGUUUCUGGUAACAUCCUUAAUCUCUGCCUUUUACAAUUUAUAAGACACGAAGAAUAAAGACUGCAUAUUGUAGAGUCCCUUACGUCUCCUUAAUUCGCCGUAUCUUUGCCAUUAUAAAUUAACUGUAUAAGGCAGAGAUUAAGGAUGUUACCAGAAAGUGGUUCCAAGAGAAUUUUCAGAUUUAUUGUUUAGAUCUGGGACUUCUCAUUUCUC